GCAGCACUCUGAACUCAGAAGGGGAAAUUGGAGACCCAGGCCCUAACACCUCACAACUGGUGUUGAAAGAACUGUGCUGGCUGGCAUCUGAGCAGCCACUACUCACACUGCCUACCAGAACGUUCAUUUGGUUUCACGGAGUCUCGUGUGUGUAUCCGAUGAACUCUUAGAGGUCCAGGAGUCCAAUCCUACCUACCUUUUCACCUACUGGAACCUAGAAGGCAUUUUAUGAGGAAUCAAAUAUGUCAACUGAAACUAUUCAUGCUUUAUACUGCAUUGGGUGUGAGAAAUUCUCCAUUUUACUGCUGCACUCGGUGCUUCGGAACAAUCA